AUUAUGGGAAGACAUUAUAUAUAUAUAUUAGUUGAUGUUAACAUUUAACUAGCUAUCAGUAACUGUGAGUUUUCUUAUAUCUAUACGUUGUGUCGUUUUGUGGGUAAUUGUUUGUGCUCGGUUAUACAUGUAUCUGAUUGUCCAAGCUCUAUUGAACAACUUUAUAUCUUUUUUCUUAUAAAAUGAUUUUACAACCCUGUCAUAUACAAGGGAAAGUGUGUUUAACCCCGCAGUGAACUGGCUGAUAAUCACUUCCAAAAUCAAUCGAAUAAUCAAUCGAUCAAUAUAUCAAUGAAUCAAAACAUGUGUAACUGUGCAGUUUGUUUUUGUCAAUUUACAGGUUAUAAUUUUCUUCAGUCACCUGCUUGAUGUAGUGGAUAUACGAACUACAAUGGCUUGAGUUAUGUAAUGGUUAAACAUGCCACAACCGCCUGCUAUAUUAAGUGAACAUACCUACUACAAUAACUCGCUUUAUGUUGUAGACUGCCCUACUACUAUCCGCUGCUUUAUGAAGUGGACAUACAAACUACAACCGCUAGCUUUUUUAGUGGAUAUACCUACUACAACUGCCACCUUUAGUUAGUUCACAUACAUACCACAACCGCCUGCUUUUUGUUGUGGAUAUAAAUACUACAACUGACUGCUUUAUGAAGUGGACAUACCUUCUACAACCUCCUGUUUAAUGUAGUUGACAUACCUGCUACAACCUCCUGAUAUCUUUAUAGUGGACAUAUGUACUAUGGCUACAAUCACCUGCUUUAUAAAGUGGACAUAUCUACUGUAAUCGCUUGCUUUAUGUAGUGGACAUACAUAUUACAUCCUCCUACUAUAAGUAGCGGAUAUAUCUAAUACAAUUAUCUGCUUUAUGUAGUAGAGAUACAGACUACAACCGCCUGCUUUGUUUAGUGAACAUAAAUACAAUGUACCACAGUUACGGGCUACAUAUAGUGGAAUAUAUACCUUUUUAUAUAGUAGAGUAAUAUAUACUAUUAGUACCUGCUUAAUGGAGUGGAAAAUAUAGAACAAUCACUAUCCAUAAAUUUACCAACCAGCAACUUGUUUUAGUAAUGAUACAAGCUUUUAUUUUUAUAUCAUACGAUAUAAAUUAUUUAAUAACUUGAUUUCGAUAUCACGAUGAAUUAUGCAAUUCCCGGAUACUGCUGAACUACUAUUUUUGACAUUUUACCUAUUAUGUCUGGGUUUUUUUGUCAAUAUAAUGGAAUUGUUUGCGACUGUCAUACAAGUGAGCGGUUUAGAUAGCUCUAAAAAUAGGUUUAAUCCACCAUUUUAUACAAAAGAAAAUAACUGUACCAAGUCAGGAAUAUAACAGUUGUAAUCCAGUUUUCUAUAAAGCGUUUUGUUUUGA
rnacentral:lncRNA from 1 species